rnacentral:rRNA from 1 species
GCGUAAUAAUUCGCCCUUUAAUUGUGGGCUAGUAUGAAUGGACAAACGAAAGAUAAGCUGUCUCCCAUAUAAAAAUAAAAUUUAACCUUCAGGUGAAGAUGCCUGAAUUCUAUUAGAAGACAAGAAGACCCCAUAGAGCUCAGUUUAUUUUUAUUUAAUAACCCACUACUUAAUCCUUAAAGUAAUAUAUUUAAUAAGCUAAACUUAGCUGGGGCGGCUAGGGAAUAUAAUCUUCCACAUACUUAUUAACCAAGGUAAAUAUACCUAAUAACAUUUUAUAUAAUUGACCUUUACCUACUAAAAUCAAAAGAAAAGCUACCUUGGGGAUAACAGAUUAAUCCUUCUUGAGAGUUCACAUUAACAGAAGGGC